UGAUCAAACAUGCGUGCCGGAGGGGGAUGAAAUUGAACAGAUAAGUACUGGUCAGACAAAGGUCAGACAUGCGUGCCAAGGGGAGGGGAUGAAAUUGAACUGAUAAGUUAUGAUCAAACACGCGUGCCAGGGGGGGGGGGGGGGAGUAUCACUCUCCAGUGACUUUAAUAUAAUAGAUCAGCUGCGUCUAUAAUCCUAUGGAGUGAAUUUUUCAAAUUUUUGUAAAAUUUCCCGUCGACUGGUAUAACUAUUGUGGUCGCUUAUAUCUCGUGUUUAAAACGACCUGAAACUCAUUAGAAGCAGUGUGGGAAACUAUAUCUUUACGUAGAAGAAGCUUGAUAGUAGAACUAGUAGACAAUUCCCAUUAUAGACUAAUUUUAAAAUUAGGCAAGGAAACUCAAAUAAAUUACCACAGCUAGAAAGAGCAUACUAAAAUUAGUAAAAUAACAAAAUUUGGUAGCGAAAUGUUGUAAAAUGAGGAAAAUAUAACCUUGCAAAGUUCGCAAAUUUUGUAUACUUUUGUAUUGCUUGCGGAAAUUCCUACCACAUUUAGGCCGAAAGUGGUCGCACGCAAUACAAAAGUAUACAAA